rnacentral:rRNA from 1 species
AGCAACCUGGCUAUUAGAGGGGAAUAACAGUGAGAAAUCACUGCUAAUACCGCAUAUGCUCACAGUGCCACAUGGCACAGUGAGGAAAGGAGCAAUCCGCUAAUAGAUGGGCUCGCGUCUGAUUAGCUAGUUGGUGGGGUAAAGGCCUACCAAGGCGACGAUCAGUAGCCGGACUGAGAGGUUGAACGGCCACAUUGGGACUGAGAUACGGCCCAGACUCCUACGGGAGGCAGCAG